rnacentral:piRNA from 1 species
UGCACAGAGGAGCCUGUGGUUGGCCUAG